CUGGAACCGCAAAAGAAAAUCUCGUCCUGCACAUCGGCACUGCCUGCAAGAUCUAUAUUUAUGAAUGCACUGCAACUCCAGAGUGACAAAGACGUGAGCCCUAUGUGCAGCUGACCUCACUUGGGCUGACAAAGUUUUGAACCUUGGACGCCGUAGCGCAAAGGAGAAGGACGCACAUCCACAAAGAUACAGCUGGCCUUGUCUCCAGAGCGCACACGCCGGGCUCCCGCCUAAGUUGCUCGCAAGCCCUCUCCAGUCCAAGGGCAAAGGGACCAAGUCAAGAAUCUUCUUUUCCAUCCGUGACUCUCAAGAGGCCGUGAAGCACCUUCUUUGCAGGUCUGCGCUCUCAGAUGAUGCGAUACCUAGUGUGCUUCAUGAGGGGUUUUGCAGCUUUGGCUUCUUGCUGUCCUCAGCUGUGUACCUGCAGCAAUCCUGGACGUGACGUGAAGGAGGUUUUCCCAGGGUGACUGGGGCAGAAUGUAACAGAGAAGGAGCAUACAGUCCUGUUAGCAACUUGUUGUUAAGUGACAAGCCCUCCAGGCUCCUCGACUACUGUAAACGCCUGUGGUUUGUUGUCCCACAGCCUCUUCCUUCCUUCCCUCUCCACCUGCCAAAUUAGCCACCUGAGACUCUGCUCGUUGCUCUUGUUUUCCCUGGCUCCUUUGACUUGUUUACUUAAAAUCUGUUUCCCUUCCCUCCCCUUCUUUUGAAUUUCUUUCACGAGGGUCUUAUAAGGACACCUACUUUUCUCAAGCUUUAAUCAGAAUUUCCUCUGAUCUAACAGGCAGCUUUUUUUUUUUCUUUUUUGGGGGGGGAGGAAAUAAAAAUGUAAUCACUUCUUCA
rnacentral:lncRNA from 1 species